rnacentral:rRNA from 1 species
AGUGGCGACGGGUGAGUAACGCGUGGGUAACCUGCCUUGGUACAGGGGGAUAACAAUUGGAAACGACUGCUAAUACCGCAUAAGCGCACAGUACCGCAUGGUACAGUGUAGAAAAACUCCGGUGGUACGAGAUGGACCCGCGUCUGAUUAGCUUGUUGGUGGGGUAACGGCCUACCAAGGCAACGAUCAGUAGCCGACUUGAGAGAGUGAUCGGCCACAUUGGGACUGAGACACGGCCCAAACUCCUACGGGAGGCAGCAUG